rnacentral:lncRNA from 1 species
CGUGAAGGGGCUCCCAUGGGCGCUGGCAUAAACCUUGGCAGGCUCGUAGCCCAGCUUCCCCCGGGACAAGGUGACCCCACAGCCCCCAGGGACCCUGCAACCUCUGCAGCUCCCGCAGCCCCGGCAUCCCCCAGGGACCCUGCAGCCCCCACAGCCCCUGCGGACCCUGCAGACCCCAGACCCUGCCUCCCCCCCAAGCACCCGGCAGGGGCAGGGGGCAGGCAGCAAGCCGGGGCUGUGCUCCCGCUCCCGCUGCAGGUGGGGGCCAGCCCUGCCCCGGCGGCCGCAGGGCACAGAGCGGGAUGCUGCCUGUCACCGCGGCCUGAUGGAGCUGUCACACUUGGCAGCUCCGGCCGGUCUCCUUGGCUGGCUGCUCUCCUGAGACAUCUGCUGCCACCGCGGGCCUGGGAAAGGCUCUGCUCCCCCGCCAGCCGUGCGCUCCGCGGCCAGGAAGGGCACCCGGGAUUUUGGCGCGCUGCUGAGAUGUCCGGCGCGGGGAUACUGCGGCUCAGCGGAAAGUUUUUGCUGAGCCCAGCACAAGGCUGCCGUGUCUGGUUUCAGGAAGGUGAGCGCUCUCUGCUCAGACGCUGUCACCUCCCUGCUGGGACAGGACGCAUGGGCUCGGGGGUCCGACCAGCUGGCAGAUCACUCCUGGAGCUGUUCUCAGGGCACGUCUGGCUCUGGGGAGUGAAGAACUGGGAGAUGGUGGUGCUGUGCCCCAUGCGGGUCUGCCCCUGGCACAGAUCCCAUGCUGUGCCCCAGGGGACAGCCGACCUACAGGACGUAAGUGGGCUCUGGUGGGCUCCGGCAGCCUACUGGGGGGCACAGCAGCCACCAAGCCCCUGUGUCCCCCUCGCUCGCCCUGCACAGUUGGAGCUGGGAGGGUUAAAAUGCCCGGCAGCUCUCCGAGGAGGGCUCCUGCUUCCCUCCACGUGGGCAGGGGAGCGGGGUAGGGCUGAGCAGAGCAGCGUCGGGCUGCAGCCUCCGGCACAAUGCAGCAGGCACUGCGCUGGCCCCGGCUGCCCUGGAGCAUCCUGCAGGGAGCAGCCCUGGCACCAGCGCAGGGACUGCCCUGGCCCCCUCCCAAACCUCUGGGAGCGAGGGGCGGCAGGCAGAGCCCUCCUGCCGACGGAGGAGGAGGCGACGCUGGAGCAGAGCUUCCCAUCAGCACCUUAUAUUUACUGCAAGGUCCUCUGGCUGUGACCUUUAAAAGACAAGGUGGCCUGGCAGCCCGGAGCCGUCAGCCACUCGGCAGGAGCUGGGCCAGGUGCGCCGAGCAGCGGGCUGGGAGCUGAGCGAGAGGUCCGGGCACGCAGACUGCGGUGAGUGCUUGGCUGCCUUUGUCGCCCUCCGCCCUCCCUUGCCUGCAGCUCUCCCCCCAGCAAUGCUUUCCUCUCCCCUGCCUCCCUCUGCCACGCAGAGCCAUCCGUCCCGCUGCUGGCCCGCUCCCCGGGGAGCGAAGCUGCCAGCCCCCCCUUCUGCAGACCCUUUAAAGCAGGGCAAGAGGAGCGGUGACCCGGGAGGCACUGCAGGGGCAGCUGCACUGGGACAGCCGUGUCCCUGCAGAAAGUUUUUGACUCGACGCAGCCCGAGGCCACUUCAGCGGGACCUCGGAGGCUGCGGUGCUGCCCUCACACCCUCCUCAGCUC